UGGUGGGGUGACUUGUCUGCUUAAUUGCGAUAACGAACGAGACCUUAACCUGCUAAAUAGCCCGCAUUUGCUCCGGCAGUGCGCUGGCUUCUUAGAGGGACUUUCGGCUCAAGCCGAAGGAAGUUUGAGGCAAUAACA
rnacentral:rRNA from 1 species